rnacentral:rRNA from 1 species
AACGAACGCUGGCGGCAGGCCUAACACAUGCAAGUCGAACGCUCGUAGCAAUACGAGAGUGGCAGACGGGUGAGUAACACGUGGGAACCUUCCCUAUGGUUCGGAAUAGCCCAGGGAAACUUGGGGUAAUACCGGAUAAGCCCUUCGGGGGAAAGAUUUAUCGCCAUUGGAUGGGCCCGCGUCGGAUUAGCUAGUUGGUGGGGUAACGGCCUACCAAGGCGACGAUCCGUAGCUGGUCUGAGAGGAUGAUCAGCCACACUGGGACUGAGACACGGCCCAGACUCCUACGGGAGGCAGCAGUGGGGAAUAUUGGACAAUGGGCGCAAGCCUGAUCCAGCCAUGCCGCGUGAGUGUCGAAGGUCUUCGGAUUGUAAAGCUCUUUUGGCGGGGACGAUAAUGACGGCACCCGCAGAAUAAGCCCCGGCUAACUUCGUGCCAGCAGCCGCGGUAAUACGAAGGGGGCUAGCGUUGUUCGGAAUCACUGGGCGUAAAGCGCACGUAGCGGAUGGUG